GAUGAACGCUGGCGGCGUGCCUAAUACAUGCAAGUCGAGCGAACAGAUGAGGAGCUUGCUCCUCUGACGUUAGCGGCGGACGGGUGAGUAACACGUGGAUAACCUACCUAUAAGACUGGGAUAACUUCGGGAAACCGGAGCUAAUACCGGAUAAUAUAUUGAACCGCAUGGUUCAAUAGUGAAAGACGGUUUUGCUGUCACUUAUAGAUGGAUCCGCGCCGCAUUAGCUAGUUGGUAAGGUAACGGCUUACCAAGGCAACGAUGCGUAGCCGACCUGAGAGGGUGAUCGGCCACACUGGAACUGAGACACGGUCCAGACUCCUACGGGAGGCAGCAGUAGGGAAUCUUCCGCAAUGGGCGAGAGCCUGACGGAGCAACGCCGCGUGAGUGAUGAAGGUCUUCGGAUCGUAAAACUCUGUUAUUAGGGAAGAACAAAUGUGUAAGUAACUAUGCACGUCUUGACGGUACCUAAUCAGAAAGCCACGGCUAACUACGU
rnacentral:rRNA from 1 species